GAAAUGCGAUAAGUAAUGCGAAUUGCAGAAUUUCCGUGAGUCAUCGAAUCUUUGAACGCACAUUGCGCCCACUGGUAUUCCGGUGGGCAUGCCUGUUCGAGCGUCAUUAUCCUCCCUCAAACCCCGGGUUUGGUGUUGGACCCAAGUUGUGCAUCUGAACAACUGGUCUCAAAGACAAUGACGGCGUCCGUGGGACCCUCGGUGCAACGAGCUUCUAGGAGCACGCGUCGAGUUUCAAGGUCCCUCCGGGCCGGUCUCCUUCUUUUACUUUUUAAGGUUGACCUCGGAUCAGGUAGGAAUACCCGCUGAACUUAA
rnacentral:misc_RNA from 1 species